UCACCUUCAAUCCUGUCGCUUCGGCAU
rnacentral:piRNA from 1 species